UGCUCCUACGGGGGGCAGCAGUGAGGAAUAUUGGUCAAUGGGCGGGAGCCUGAACCAGCCAAGCCGCGUGAAGGAAGAAGGCGCCAGGCGUCGUAACUUCUUUUGUCGGGGAACAAAGGGCGCCACGUGUGGCGUUGUGAGUGUACCCGAAGAAAAAGCAUCGGCUAACUCCGUGCCAGCAGCCGCGGUAAUACGAAGGAUGCGGGCGUUAUCCGGAUUUAUUGGGUUUAAAGGGUGCGUAGGCGGAUUGAUAAGUUAGAGGUGAAGUUUCCGAGCUUAACU
rnacentral:rRNA from 1 species